AAUUUCUACUUAUCUCCAUUGACCUGUUUCAUAUAUAUAUAUAUAUAUAUAUAUUUAAGGAUAUUGAAAUUGAAGUUCGGGUAAAAGUUGCUGAUACUCGAAGUUCGAAUGAUCAGCAAUUUGCAGUAGAAAUGGAUCAUUGUUAUUAUCAUUCGUGAAUUUCGAUAGUGAAGGCUGAAUUUCUCUGGUUACGUCCUUGAGUUUAUUAUUAAAAAAUAUACAUAUGUGAUUUUAGGGUAAGCGUAGUGAAGAUUUCCAGUUCCAGCGGCGUGGGAGGGGAAUCUGUUAGUGGAGGGAUUUUGGGGACAGAUUUGAACCCUAAUUGGAGAGCCAUAGAUGAAUAAUUUACAUAUAGAGAAUGUAGGGAAAUGUGAAGAGUCUGGAAUCAAGUUUGUAUCCUCCCAUUUCAGUCAUUCAUGAAGUGCUGCACAUGACACCAUGGUAGGGCACAAAUGGUCCCAAACCCAAAAUGAGUGGACAUCUAAAGUCCCUGAAUUCACACAUAAUCUCCUGUUUAGGUUCCUUUUCUCAUGCAUCUAUCUGUUCUGAUACGUGUUACCGUCAUCUUUUGUUUGCAUCUUCUUGCAUCCUUUUCAUUGCCUUUAAUGUUUGUGGUGCGUUGAAUUUAAACCUGAGCACUAACAUGUGAAAUGAAACAUCGAAACAUGAAGUGCCCACCAAUUGGUGUUGUCCUCAUUGCAGUUGUUAAAACGAUGGUUGAUAAGUCUGCCUUCCUGACGUGCAUAGCAAUGCUUCUGGUCCUGAGCAUAAUGCCAAGAAACACAUAGUUGCUUUCAUGUAGUAGGAGUUCUUCAAGUUUAAUUUUCCAUUGCCAUCUUAUCCUAAUGUUAGGUUAUAAUGUGAUGGUGUUAUCAAAUUUCUAUUUGCUAUGAAUUCAGAACUAUUGAGUGAAUAUGCAUGUUUUAAAAGGUGAUGGUGGAAGAACUAUGCAGCUUGAGUUUAAACUCUUCAUAACUCUGGAUGAGAUUGAGGGGGGAAUAAUUAGUAGUAACAUGACCAUGAUUUCUUAUGAAGUAAAAUUUCAUAAUUGCAGACUUGCAGUUGUUUAGGGCUUAUGGACACAAGUCAAGCUUCAUUGAAUUUGAGUAUCUAAGUUUACUGUGAAUCAUCAUUCAUUUUAAUCAACAGUGAUUUGAUUUUAACCAAUUGAAUAUUUAUAAUGCCUACCUAGAAGACUUAAUAAGCUUAAUAAAAUGUAUUUUCAGUCAAAACGAAAUUAAAGAUUGUAGUCUUUAAAGGUGUAGACCUUUUUGAGCUAAUCUUUAUAAAGCUAGAUCCUUUAUUAAAUUAAGUUGUACAUGAAAACAUACCAACUAGAUUGGAUCUUCACUUGUUAUGCUUCAGUUAUUGUUAUAACAAUGUGUAAUAUUAAAAUACAUCGGACAUGACCUAUCUUGAAGAAUAAGCUCUGAUGCACCUGUAAAGUGUCUCUAUGUUGUACCACAUGCCGGAGGUAAGCUUGAAGACUUCUUCUCUAAUUCCCAGAUCUCACAGCAACAAGUUGGGUACGCUAUGUGAUGGUGUGCUGGGUUCACAGGUCAACACACAAUCUUUUUACUCUAUUUUUUCCUUACUUAUAUAUGUAUCUUUAGACACUUUACCAGGGUCAUCCAUUCUUAAAUUUCUCGAGAGUUGGAAGACUUAUGAGCACUGCAGUAGGCAAGAUGUUAUAUACUUGUACAUUGACCUCACAGUUCGCAUAUGUAUUAUUAUUAUUUUAGUGCACUAUCCUCAUUCGUGCAUACGCUAGUAUAAUCGCAAGAGGUUUUUCCUUUGGAAAUUUACUUCAAAGUAAUCAAGCCUGAACUUUGAAAUUGUUUCUGGAGAACUUAAAAAGAUGAAGAUGCUAUACAGUGUUUUGUCCAGAUAAGAUUUUUGAGGAUUUAUUAUCUUUAUUAUUAUUAUUCAUUUGGCUGGUUGUUAACUUUAGGUUGGAUUGUACGUCGUGCAUCUGCUUUUCCUUAUGUUUAGGAUAUUCUCCUUGUGCUAUAAAUAGAGCUUAUUUCUUUGUUUACAAAGAUCAUUUCUUUUUAUGAAUGAGAAUAUUAAUUUAUUUUUGUUGUGCAAUGCUUAGCGAUUGUUCAUUUAGUCAGACACUUGAAACCAGGUUUGAAAGCAAUUGCAUAAGUUUUGUCAUUGUUACGUGAUCACGUGGAGGAUUCAUUUGAGGUGUUGCGAUUGAUCCAAUCCUUUUUAUCUUUUCUUUUUGUUGGCAUACUAAGUUCCUAAUUAUAUUCCUUUCUUAUUUUCUUGUUUGUGCAUUUCAAGACUUGUUUUCAUCUCUUUGUGAAGUCGAAUCUGUUCAGUUCAACUUUGCAUCUCUUUCCAUUUUAUGUCAAUGUGUAUGUGUAUGUGCUUGUGAGUGAAAGGUGUCUGGGCAAGAAAAGGAUAGAGGAGAUUUUAGUGAGGACAGGUAGGAUGUCUUGGGAGGGACUGGUCCCCCCAAUCAUGGAUGAUUUUCAGAUACAUUUGGACAUCAAAUUUCGAACACUAGUGACUCAUAAUUGUCCUACUUUGAUCCGAAAAGAUAUAGAUGCAAUGUAAGACAAGGAAAAAACUAACACAGAUACAAAAAGUGAUGGGAGUUUUUCCAUGGCUAAUCUCCUAACGUUUCCUUUCAUGGACCCCUCUUUUGUCUGCCUGUCUUUGUUCCUUGUAACUAACUUAAGAGUGUCUGUUAUGUUAUGGCUGUGGGAAUUGGGAAUUCCAUAGUUUAGGGUCAAUUUAAGGUUCACACUAUGUCAAGACUUGUCAAUUUUCUUAGAAGUUAGAACAUGCAAAGUUGCAGGAAUUCUGCUUCCAUUUUUGAGCAAAGCAUGUGGCUCCUUGAGACUAUUCUAUUUUGUUAUUUUUGUUAGUUUGUUGUAAUAUGUUGAAUGAAAUGCGAGCCUUGGUAUUUGAAGUUUCAACCGGAUGGAGAGGCGAAAUGUUUAUAUUGACUUACUUUAACUGGCCCUGUUGUCUAUGUGUGAUAAAUAAUCUUUCGUACACAUUCGAUCACUUUCUGUUUUGUGUCUGAAUGAGAAUAUGAGAAAUGCCCAUUUUUAAAAAUGUCGAAUUUUCUAAUAACACUAAGUGGCAAAGCAGAUGUGCAGAUAUGAUUAUGAGGGAAUCUGCAGCUACCCCUUCCUCUGCUGUUCUUACUACAUUUGUUGCAGCGAUCAUCGCACAAUAAAGCCCGUGGUGGACCAACCAUCAGUGCAAGAAGCAGAUUCACAAAAAUGAUUCAACAAUCACCAGAAAGGAACAAAGAGAGGAUAUGAAAAACAUUAAAGAAUGGCUUCUCGGAUUGAGCUUUCAGCAUCACAGCAAGCAUCGCUGGGGCUACGCGGGCUUAUACUUGGCGAAGCAUGCAAUGAACUCCUCCAACUAUCGACUCUCUUCAUUCGAUGACAAAUAUCGGUACUUCCCCCUACCCACAUCACAUCGCCCCAUUCGACAACCGAAUGAGCCGAGCUAGGCCUUGGGGACGCGGUGGGGCAGUCGUUCCAUGUUUGCAAUUCAAACACUUUUCUUUCAAGAUCAUUUACUCGCAAGUGAUGAAGUUCUUUGGAGUAGCUGCGAAGUUAACGGGGAGGUGGGGAUUGUCGAUGCCGAGAACAUCGGUUUCGAUGUGUCGGAAUAUGCUGGGAUGAGUUGCCCGUGAGAAAAUAAUUCGUCC